rnacentral:rRNA from 1 species
GCCGGCGGGGGGCCGGCUUACCCUGGCCCCUCGAACGGACCUUUUUUUGGGAGAAGCCUUCGGGUGGAAAUUAGCGCCCUUUAAUGGCGGACGGGUGAGUAACGCGUAGAUAAUCUACCUUAAAGACUGGGACAACAGUUGGAAACGACUGCUAAUACCGGAUACGCUGCACAUAGGGCAUCCUAGGUGCAUGAAAAGAGGCCUCUUAACAAUGCUCCUGCUUUUAGAUGAGUCUGCGUCUGAUUAGCUAGAUGGUGGGGUAACGGCUUACCAUGGCGACGAUCAGUAGUCGGCCUGAGAGGGUGACCGGCCACAUUGGGACUGAGACACGGCCCAAACUCCUACGGGAGGCAGCAGUGGGGAAUCUUCCGCAAUGGGCGAAAGCCUGACGGAGCAACGCCGCGUGAUCGAAUGAAGGCCUUCGGGUUGUAAAGAUCUGUUGACAGGGACGAAUAAUCAAUGCGAAUAGUUUUGUGUAUGACGGUACCUGUUUAUAAUGCUCCGGCUAACUACGUGCCAGCAGCCGCGGUAAUACGUAUGGAGCACGCGUUGUCCGGAAUUACUGGGCGUAAAGGGCGCGUAAGUGGGCGCUUAAGUCAGGUGAGAAACCUCAGGGCUCAACCUGAAGACUGCACUUGACACUGGCUGUCUUGAAGAGCCGAGAGGAAAGUGCAAUUCCUAGUGUAACAGGUGAAAUGCG